CCUACGGGUGGCUGCAGUGAGGAAUAUUGGUCAAUGGACGCAAGCCUGAACCAGCCAUGUCGCGUGAAGGAAGACUGCCCUACGAGUUGUAAACUUCUUUUAUACGGGAGUAAAGUGAGGCACGCGUACCUUUUUGAAAGUAUCGUAUGAAUAAGGAUCGGCUAACUCCGUGCCAGCAGCCGCGGUAAUACGGAGGAUUCGAGCGUUAUCCGGAUUUAUUGGGUUUAAAGGGUGCGUAGGGGGGUGGAUAAGUCAGAUGUGAAAUUUCGAGGCUCAACCUCGGAAUUGCCUCUGAUACUGUUCGGCUAGAGAGCAGUUGCGGUAGGCGGAAUGUAUGGUGUAGCGGUGAAAUGCUUAGAGAUCAUACAGAACUCCGAUUGCGAAGGCAGCUUACCAAGCUACUACUGACGUUGAGGCACGAAAGCGUGGGGAGCAAACAGGAUUAGAUACCCGAGUAGUC
rnacentral:rRNA from 1 species